rnacentral:lncRNA from 1 species
AGAUAAGAUCUGGCCUCGAUAAUGCUGAAGCAUUGGUAUGUGUGACUCUGGAAUAUAGCAGUUUUUUCUUUAUUGUCCCUUUUAACAUUUUUUCUUAUUCACCAGAUUAGGAAAAUGGAUGUUGAGGCGAGGAGCCUUCCACCGAGCAUUAGGACCAGCCUCCUUGUUAAACUAAGAGAGUUCAAGUCCGAUCUCAACAACUUCAAAAGCGAAGUCAAGAGGAUCACAUCUGCUAACUUGAAUGCUGCUGCUCGCGACGAGCUGCUUGAAGCUGGUCUGGCUGACACAAAGACGGUAUGUAAAGAGAACUCACUAGUAUCUUUUUUGACAUCUUUUGAUUGAUCUAUGACAUUUGAGGGCAGGCUUCGGCUGAUCAAAGAGCGAGAUUGAUGAUGUCAACCGAUCGAUUGGGUCGAACCACUGACAGAAUCAAGGACAGUCGAAGAAUGAUGAUUGAGACUGAAGAGCUUGGAGUUUCUGUCCUACAAGACUUGCACAGUCAGAGACAGUCUCUCCUUCGCACUGGCGACACGGUAUGUACUCUCUUCUUCAGCACGAUUUUAUCAUGAAGAAGACUACGUUUUAUUUAUAUACUACUUGUGAUUGGUGUCUCUUUUAACCAAAAGUUAGAACUCUGAAACAUGCAGCUUAGUGGAGUAGACGAAAAUGUCGGAAAGAGCAAGAAGAUCUUGACGGGCAUGACCAGGGGGAUGAACAGGAACAAAUGGACCAUUGGAGCCAUUAUCACCGCUCUGGUCGCGGCUAUUAUCCUCAUCUUGUACUUCAAACUCACCAAGUAAUCCCUCUGUAUCUAAACUCUUUGUCGCUGAACAAAUGGUGUGUAUCUUUUAUUUAAUCCUUUUCUGGCUUUCUGUGUGAUAAGUUAUGUCUUUGCCACCUUUUGUAUUAUCACGUUCUCUUGUUUGCGUUUGCGAUUACAUUUGUGUAUUUUAAUACUGAAUGAUGCAAAUUGUUUUGUUUUAUUAUUACUAAACGCAAGCGUAAAUUACAUUUCAAACAAUUAGAGCCUAAGCCUUGAGAUUGAGAACUAGUUGUGUGUUUUUCUUUCAUUCUUGAACCUGUUAUAAUCAGCGAGCAAGCUCUCAAUAACCUUAUGUUUCAUGCUAUCCACCAAACCAGUCAAAAUCUGUAGAAACCAAAUCACAACCAAACAUUAUUUACAAAGCUGAAAUAGUGGAAAAUAUCGUUUUCGAGUUCUCAAACGCAUAUAAGAAACCGUUUCUAACCGCAUUGGCCACGCUUCUCUUAACAUCUUCGGGUACAAACGCAAGAACCGAAGGAAGGACGAAGCUUACGUUCAUCUCUAAUUGACCUUUGAGCCUUGUGUGGCUUCCGCCUCGGUCUGGGUACAAUGCUCCUUGAACUCCCAGAGUGAAAUCAGACUGUUCCAUGACCUGGCCAAGCCCUUGAAGCUCCCAUUUCAUCUGAAGGUAAACCGUUAAAAGGGAACAAAAGAGUGAGAAUCGUCAAGGGUUGUGUCUGUUUCUAUUACCAUGUUAAGCUCAAGAACUCUGGUUAUGUCUAGAGGUACAUCAGGCGGGUAAUCUUGACCGUUGGAUUUGCAUCUAAUUCGCAUGUCCACCACUGGCCUUGCAGUGAGGAAGAGGAAAUUUAUAGGUGACAUAUGAAUUCUCCAUUCUUCCUGCACAAAUAAAAUAUUGUUAGAUACCGAAUGCAUUCCCACUUACAUAAAAAGUAACACAUAUUAGCUACCUCGUUAAGCCUAUAGCUUCUAGGUUUAUCAGGAAACAUUGCUUUGAAAACCCUACACUUAUCCUCCAAAUACUCAUCGAACAACGCCUGAACUUUCCCGAAACGCGUCAAACACAUACACUGUUGUACAGUGAUGCAUAUAUAUAACUCAUUAUAGGAAAUGAGAGUGAGAAUGAGACCUGAGGAGACUCGUGCAAUUGAACAUCGGUAGAGAAUUUAGAUGAAUACUUGGAGGCUUUUACAGUUGACAACUGGCACUUGGCUCCUGGCCGUAAUGUUCUCAUCUCCGCCGCUGUAGACCUGAUUCUUCCCAGCAUUGUCGGACACGACAAAACUGUUGAGCUGACAGCCAUGUUAGUAGUCUCUCUCUAGGUUUUCAAGAUUGGAUGAUGUUUGAUCUUUCCCACAUGUUUGAAAGAUAAGGGGAUAUGUGUCUUUCGGCCUUGUAUGUAGACGUGGUAUAUCGAGGGACUAUCCACCUCAUCAACAUUUUGAAUUCUUGGCCCUCUUUGAUUUACUCCUUUAUUCACGUUUUUCUCACUAUUAAGAAGAAGACAAUCUUGUUGAACAAAUAAUUAAAAAAAAGAAGACAAUCUCUUUCUCUCUAUACUCUUUCAGUCUUUCUUCGGUUCUCUGUUAUGAAAACAGUCUCCUUUCUUUCGGCUAAAUCAGGUCAAUAACAGAAAAUUGUGUGUUUUUUUUACAGUGUUCUAAAAAUUGGUUUAGAUGACACAUUAAAAAAAGUCUAACCAUACAUUUAAUCAACAAUCUUCGUAAAAAGUAUAACUACCGCCUAACGAUUUUUUGCAUUGUUUUUCUCUCAAAAUAUUACAAUUGACAGAUUUAAUAUUCAAAUAUUAUAGUUACUCCAUAACUAAUAGCUCGACGGCAUAAAAUUGACAUGAUAUAGUCAAUAGUUUCGUCUAUUUUUAACAGUUGACUAUUAUAAUCCUAAUUUUUUUAAUUAUAAUCCUAGUUUUAUGGUGUAUAUAUAUACUAGUUGAUACAAGUUGUUUUGUUUAAUAUAAACGUAUACGCCAAACAUGGCGCAUAAAUUACAUUCAAACCAUUAAAGCUUUAGCCUUGAGAUUAAAAACUAAUGAUGUGUUCUUCUUUCAUUCUUAAACCUAUUAUAAUCAUCGAGCAAGCUCUCAAUAACCUUAUGCUUCAUAUUAUCCACCAAACCAUUUAAAACCUGCAGAAAGCAAAUAAAAACAUAAGAUAAUAUAUAAAUUUGGAAUAUAGUGUUUUGAAUUUGCAAAUGCAUUUAUUUCUAACCGCAUUGGCAACGUUUCUCCUAACAUCCUCUGGUACAAGCAUGAGAACCGUAGGAAGCACGAAGCUAACGUUCAUCUCUAGUCGACCUUUGAGCCUUGUGUGCCUUCCGCCUCGGUCUGGGUACAAUGCUCCUUGAACUCCAAGGGUGAAAUCAGAUGGCUCCAUGACCCGGUCAAGCCCUUGAAGCUCCCAUUUCAUCUGAAAAUAAACCGUUCAAAGAGAACAAAAGAGUGAGGUAUUUAGACUUUUUAGUACUUCCUCCAUUCAACGAAGAUAUAAAUCUUGGAUAUUUCACACAAUUUAAAUAUAAAUUUACAAUUCUAAAAUAUUUUUUUAAUACCAUAAUUUAAAAAAAAUCAAUUUAUUUCAACAGUAUUGUCUUAAUCAAUAUGAUCAGUAAAUAAAGGUAAACAAUUAUUCAUAAAACUUUUCUCUUUCUGAAACAAUUAAAAAUGUCAAAACUUGUAUUUUUGUGGAAAGGAGUGAGUACCAUGUUAAGCUCAAGGACUUUGGUUAUGUCUAGAGGUACAUCAGGCGGGUAAUCCUGACCGGUGGAUUUGCAUCGGAUCCGCAUGACCACCACUGGCCACGCAGUGAGGAAGAGAAAUUUUAUUGGCAACAUUUGGAUUCUCCAUUCUUCCUGCACAAGUAAAUCAUGUCGGUCUUUUCGUUAGAGUAACCAAAGAAUGCAACCCAGAGCCGUGCCUGACUAGAGGCUGAUCAAGCACUUGCUUGAGGCCAAAACGUAGAUAAAUAGUUUUAUGGGCCAAUUUCUUGGCAAGAGUUGUCUACAGAACAGUUGGUAAUAGUCUGUAUUAUUACUCUAGGGUCCCGGGUUCAAUCACGAGUAUAGCAGUUUGACCUUUUUUCCAAAAAAUUUAUAGUUUAUGGGGCAAAUUUUUUUUAGUGCUUUAGGACCCACAAUAUUCAGGCAUGGCCCUGAAUUGCAACCCCACACUUAUAAAAAUGGAACAUGGAUGUUACCUCGUUAAGCCUAUAGCUUUUGGGUUUAUCAGGAAACAUUGCUUUGAAAACCCUCGACUUAUCCUCCAAAUACUCAUCGAACAACGCCUGAAGUUUCAAAGCAUUACAACACAAACAGUUUUACACUGAUGCAUACAUAUAUAACAUUAUAGAGAUUGAAAGUGAGAAAGAGAUACCAGAGGAGACUCGUGCAGUUGAACAUCGGUAGUUAUUUUAGAUGAAUAUUUGGAGGGUUUUACGGGUGACAACUGACACUUAACUCCCCACCGUAUUGUUCUCAUCUCCACCGCCACCGACCGGCGUCUUCCGAACAUCUUCGGGCAUGACAAAACCAUUGAGCUUACAGCCAUUUUACCAGUCUUUCUCUCUCUUUUUUGGUCUUCAAGAUUGGAUGAUAUUUGAUCUUUCCCACUUUUCUCUCUCUCUAUAUUUAUAUAUAUCUUCAGAGGAAAGAUUGCGUCUUUGCUUCUCUUUAAUACGUUUAGAGACCUUUGUUAAAGAAAAUAGAGACAGAGAGUAACAUUCUCACGGUACGCAUUUGGAAGAUAGUGGAUUUCGAGAAAUAAUUGUUGAAACAUUGCUUUUCAACCUCUAUAGUAACCGGGUACAUAUUCGGUUUGGUUUAAUUGUUUCAGGUUUUGUAAGAAAUAUAAGUCCACUUCAUUUAAUUUAGUUUAGUUUGGUUUGGUUUAGUUAAGAGGUUACCCAUUUAUUUUGCCAUCUACGUGGUGAUAAUGUAAAGCCUCGUCUGUCACGCAGUUGUUGAUGAGAGUGACACGAGAACAUUGAACGUUGAGAAUAAUCUGUAGAAUAACUUCUAUCACACGCAGAGGUUUUGAAAAAAAAAAGAAAAAGAAUUCAUUGCUUUCGAAACCGACAAACUCUCGGACCGAAUACUAAGAAACCGGUUUACUUUGGCGCCUAGGAAUAUGGGUUACUAACUUUGACUUUUAAUGUAAGCAAUAAGCAAAGAUCUCUUGUUGUUUGCAACUCUUUCAACUCUAUAAUCUUUGUUUUUCAGACUGGCUAAGUAAAUUAAAACAUUAAAAUCUUAUAUAGUAUGUUACGAUGACUGUUCAUAAACGAUUUGUUCAUGUUGGAUUGAGAAACUAUACAUGGUUGAGCAUUGACAUUAAAAUUCGGCUUUAGUAGAUAACUUGUGUAAUCUUCUCUCGUUCUUGAACCUGCUAUAAUCAGCGAGCAAGCUCCCAUUAACCUUAUGCUUCAUAUUCUCCACUAAACCUGUCAAAACCUGUAAAUGGGUCCAAAUCAGAUCAUGUGUAAAUCAUAAGAGAUAGUCAAAUAAGGUUUUACAUACCGCACUGGCCAAGUUUCUCCUAACGUCUUCAGGUACCAAUUCAAGAACCGGGGGAAGAACAAAGCUUAUGUUCAUCUCUAGCUGACCUCUGAGCCUUGUGUGCUUUCCUCUCCGGUCUGGGUACAAUGCUCCUUUGACUCCCAAACUGAAGUCAGACGGUUGCAUCACUCGGUCAAGCCCUUUAAGUUGCCAUCUCGUCUGAAAAGAAGCAUUUAAGAGUUUGAGUAAUGGAAGAUGAAGAAACGAAGAGAGAGAAAAGUUAUUACCAUGUUGAGCUCAACAACUUUGGUUAUGUCUAAAGGUACGUCUGCCGGGUAAUCCUGACCGUUGGAUUUGCAACUUAAACGCAUAUCGACCACAGGCCACACAGUGAGGAAGAGGAAAUUAAUUGGUAACAUCUGAAUCCUCCACUCUUCCUGCAAAAAUUCAAUUUAUCCAAGUAGACUUAAAAUAGUGAAAAAGGGGGCGUUCCGAGAAUUGAACUCGGGACCUCUCGCACCCUAAGCGAGAAUCAUACCACUAGACCAAACGCCCGUUUUGAACGUGUUUUAUAUAUAACUAAUGUUAGUCAUAUUAGUUGACGUACCUCGUUAAGCUUAUGGCUUCUGGGUUUGUCAGGGAACAUGGCUUCGAAAACUCUCGAUUUAUCCUCUAAAUAGUCAUCAAACAACGCCUAAAAGUUCCUCAAAAUCACAUUUAAGAAACGCACCAAAACAGUUUAAACUGAAUCGUGUUAUAGAGGGAGAGAGAGAAGGAGACCUGAGGAGACUCGUGGAGAGGAAUAUCUGUGGAGAGUCUUGACGAAUACGUGGCAGGUUUUAUGGAUGAUACCUGACACCUAACUCUCCACCGUGUAAUUGGUCUCAUCUCCGUCUUCACCGGUCGGUAAGUUCCGAACAUGGGCGAUGACAAAACCGCCAUUUCACCGAUUAUCUUUUCAAUAUCAGAACUUUUAUAUAUUCCACAUUUCUCUUUUGAUUUCUCUCUGAAAGUUAAAAACUUUUGAAAGAACUUUUAGAUUUCUCUAGAGGAGUGAAGUUGCUUUUUGCUAGAGAUUUUGGAGGGAUAAGGGGAUAUCUGUCUUUCGGCCUUCUAUGUCGACGUGGCAUAUUUUGAGACUAGCCACAUCAUCAACAUUUGGAAUUCGUAGGGCCCUUCUUUUCUUUGUACUCCUUUCGGACUUUUCCUUUCCGUUAGUGGAUGAGAAUGACACGAGACGAAACUAAAAAAAAAAAAAACUCAAAUGUAUUAUCUGACGACAAAGGAAGGUUCGACAAACUAAACUCAAUCCUUAUUUUACAUUAGUUCCACUGUACAUGUUCUGUCAUAUUAAAAGAUCAAGAAUAUUCAAAUCCUACGAGCAACGCAUUAUAUUGUCGGAUGAAUUUCCUUGAAAGUGUAUGGUUUGAAAUUUCAGGACUGUAGAGGGCACACAGAUGAUCCUCCUAAAGAAUGUAGAUAUCAAACCUUAAGUUCUGUGAUUUGUUCUUCGAUUUCUUGCUUAUAAAAGCAAACUAAAAUGAAAUGUGGAACGUAAAUGCCACAAUUGAUUCACGGCUUCGUUGAGCUCACUUCACUCUCUUUGUUAAAACUCAAAUACAUCUCGAUCUUCUUAGUUCCAACAACCAAAGAGGAUACAAAAGACAAUCUUUCACGGUUUAUUUCUAACAUUAGUAAGAAAAGGACUCGUCUCUUUCUCUCUUAAUUCCUUCACGGUUAAAACCUCAAGUCAAACCGUCAACACACUUAUGGGCCUUAUCCAUUUCCUAACUGGGCCUUAAUUUUAAUUUUAAUUUCUAGUCCAAUCGGUAAUCGCUUCGAUCUGUCGGUAGACAGAAUAGAAUAAUGGUUUCGCCGGUUAAACCAGUCGGCAAUCGGUACGAUCAGAUUGCAUAAAAGCAAAUCAUAAUAAGUCACGUGGCACAGUUUACACGGUUCGUAGACUCGUAGUGGUCGCCAUGUAAACAGCGGGAAAACAGGGCCCCACACAUAUUAACUAAGGAGUAGGACCAACAAAAUCAUCACCACGAAACGCAGCGUUUCCCCUUCGUCUCCGCGUUUAAAAUCUUCUUUCACCCUUUCGUCAUUUCGUCAGAUCCAAGAGAGAGAGAGAGAAAUCAGAAAAAGAUCUUGAAACGAUGCCGUACUACACCAGAGACGAGGAUGAAGUCGACGAUUUCGACGAGUUCGAUCCGACGCCGUACAGUGGAGGCUACGACAUCACCGUGAUCUACGGCCGUCCGAUCCCUCCUUGCGACGACACUUGCUACCCUCUCUCCUCCGCAGCGGAUGAAGAUUUCGAGUACGAGAGACCUGAAUUCACCUCGUACCACGAUCCUUCCGCCUACGCCGAAGAAGCUCUCAACCCCGAGUACAGCAGCUACUCCCGCCCCAAGCCCCGUCCCGGUUUUCGACCCGGUUCUGCCGGAGGCGGUCACGUCCAAGGUGAGCGACCCGAUCAGAGUUACGGAUCCGGUUACGGUGGUCAGACGGAGGCUGAGUACGGUAGGAGACCUGAAUCGGGGUACGGCGGAGCCACGGAGACGGAGUAUGGCCGGAGACCUGAGCAGAGUUACGGAUCUGGUGGAUACGGUGGCAGAUCGGAGGUUGAGUCUGGUGGCUAUGGUGGUAGAUCAGAGGUUGAAUCUGGUGGAUACGGUGGAAGAUCGGAGUCUGGUGGCUAUGGUGGAAGAACGGAGGUUGAGUAUGGCCGGAGACCUGAAUCUGGAUAUGGUGGGAGAUCGGAGACGGAGACCGGGUACGGAUCCGGGUAUGAGAAGAAACCGAGCUUCGGUGAAGAGAGGAGCGAGUAUGAGCGCAAGCCUAGCUAUGGAAGGUCUGAGGAUCAAGAGGAAGGAGGUUACAGGAAGCCUAGCUAUGGGAGAUCUGAGGAUCAGGUUGAGAGCUACAUAAAGCCCAGCAGCUACGGGAGGUCUGAGGAAGAGGAAGAAGGAGGCUAUAGGAAGCCUAGCUAUGGAAGGUCUGAGGAACAGGAGGAAGGGAGUUACAGGAAGCCUAGCUAUGGCCGUCGUAAUGAUGAUGAUGAUGAUGAGGAGCGCAGGAACCGUUCCGGUGAUGAUGAGGAAGGGAGCUAUGGCCGCAAGAAAUAUGUAAGUUCAAUAAGUUAAUUAUAUAAAGUUAUAGUCAAUUUGCAUCUAGAUUAUUGUGUGGAAAUUAAGUUUAUUGAUUGUUUAAACAUAAAACCCUUUUGUUGAUGGACUGAUCUCAACAUUGAAACUAAAGAUUAUAGUUUUGGUGAUAACAUCCAUUACCCCCUUUAACUUCAUUCGUUCAGUAUUUGAUUUAACAUUGACAUCUUGUAGGUUAUAACAAUCAUAGUACAGAACUUGCAUUGUGUUUUUUGCGUCUCGUUUGUUUUGAAAAUAAGUUUUAGUUUGGUUUUGAUCACAGUGUAGCGGUGUAACUCUGUUUUCACAUCCUGAAAUGGAGUUCCUUAAUUUGAAAGCUAUGUUCUACAAUCCCAUAAUAACGUUCCUGGUUCAAUGUUUGUUUGAAUAUAGACAUCUUGAAUAUGUCCCAUUGUUGAUCUUAGUGUAGAGUAGUCUCCAUGUUGAACUAAAGUGUUUGUCUUUCAUACCCUGUAACUCUGUUUUCACAUCCUGUAAUGGAUUAGCCUCGGUUGAAAGCUAAGUUCUUUGAUUGAAAUUGCACAUCAUGUAUAUGACAUUUGAAGAUCAUAGUUACAGAGUAUCUAUCUCCAUUGUUAUGGUGACCGUUAAUAGAGGCAUCACUGACUAAAGCUUUCGCUUAACGUUAUUCAUCUCUGCAUCAAAUUCUGUAGGGUGGCAAUGACUCUGAUGAUGAUGAGGAGAAGAAGCAGCAGCGUUACAAGCAUCACCACCACCAGAGGCGUCGUGAUGAAGACGAUGACUAAAGCCCUCACUCAGUGCUGGAAUCGAGUGCUUCUACUUAGCUUCAUAUUACUAAAUAAAAAGCUAAGGCAUAUUUAUCUUUGGAUGUUGUUGUUGUGUUUGUUUGAUUCUCUCUAGAUACAGCAGAGUCUGUGUCUGGGUUUGUUUCUGGUUCAUUAUAAGACCUUGAAUUGAUAUCGGGUCAUCAUCAUGAUGUUAAACUGUUGCUACUCUGUGUUUCGUUUUUAUUUAUGGAACUUUUCUCUUUUAUGGCUUCUGUUGUUUUGGUUUUGUCGAUAUUAAUAUUAAAAAUCAAAAGUCAUUGCCGAGAAGGAAAAAUAUUUUGUGGUAAAAGCUAGAUUCGAUUUUUUAUACUGAAUAUUUUAUGAUUAAAAACAGAAAAAAGAAAAUCGGUUUUGUAAUAGGAAUGGGUUAAUCAGAUACCUAUAUGUACAUUACACAUCUUUUUGCUUCAACAUCAGAAACUUACAACCAAACAAUUCUAAAAGAAGCAAUGUCAAGCGCUACAGUCCUCGAUGAAUCUAGCGUUCCUAGCCCCAGGAGUACAUGGAGGUGAGAUUCCACUAAAUAUAUUGUUAUGUAACAUAAGAUUUUUGAUUAUAAACAUUAUUAUACUGAAACGAAUUUUCUGGUUGGUUGCAGGAUGGACGGGCAGUUACGAUACGACAUUGCGAUGAACACCAUCAUUAUAAUCCUCAUCACUGAUGCGGUCUUACAUAUGACUCUGAGAGCCCACAAGAUUCCCCUUGCUGAUAACGUUGAGGGACUUUUAUGUACAUUUGUAGUUGCGUACGUGUUUGUCAUCACGACUAAUUGCGGGUAUUGGCUUACAGCAAGCGAGGAAGAAGGGUGUUUACUUGGAAUUUACAUCACGGGACGCCUUGGUCACACGUUAGGCUUUUGUAUUUUCCUCUGUCUCCUCUAUUCUAGUUCUCACUUGGCUAUGUACGUUGCUCUACCUUGUUUACUAUGUUUGGUGCCAGCCAUGUUUGCACCGUGUUGUCCAUGUCUGUGGAGAGGAGAGUCAACUUGGUGGAAUUUUGUGAAGCAACCACAACCAACAGUAGAUAUUGUUUAACUUUUGGACUAUUAUUAUUAAUAGAAUUUUUUAAUUCCUAAUUUUGUAAACAUCUCGUCAAUUGUUUGUUCUUAACUUUUCUCUCUUGCGAUCGGUGAAUUUUGUUUCCACUGUCUACCCAUAAACCUCGUGUUGACAUGUGUUUUGCGAUCUAACAAGAUAUUAUUAUGGUUUAGGGAUUGUUUUAGACAUCAAUCCUCUUUUGAUAUGGCUGAAGAAAAUUAAGAGUUCCUAGUCUUGAUUUGUUCCUGCUUAAUGUAAUUUGGGGAAAGUGAUCAUUUAUCUUUUGGUACAUUAUCAUUGUGUGUUGCAUGCAAAGUAUCAAUCUACUUGGAACUUAACAUUGCGUUAUUUGCAUCUAGCUUGUUUGGAAAAUAAGUUUUAAUUUGGUUUAAUCCCGUUGUUGAUCACAGUGUAGUGUGAUCUCAAUGUUGAACUAAAGAUAUCUUUAGUUUGUUCUUUAGAUUCUUUAUGAGUUACUACAAGCCUUUGUCUGCUUCCCUUUGGUUACAGGCUUGUCAUUACUAGUUGUAGAUCAUCAUUGAUUUUGCAGAACAAAAGAUGCAGAAGCUGUCCCAAAUAAGGACACAAGGACAUAAGUUUGUGCUUUAGAUCCUUUAUGAGUUUAUCUUCAGUUUUUGCGUUUUAGAUCCUUUAUGAGUUAUUACAAACCUCUCGACUCUUGUAAGGACAUAAGAUCUGUGCAUUAUCUGGUUACUGGCUGUACAAAGAGCUUGUCAAUUACUAGGUGUAGAUCAUCAUUGUUUCUGUUUGUUAAGAUGCAUUGAUGACACCUUACUCAUUGAUUCCCGAAACAAAAGAAGCAUAAGCUCUCUGAAAUAAGGCGUGGCCGCAAAAAUGCUAAAGUGUUGGUAUGUAGUCUAAGGCAUAGAUCGAAUAAAGCAGCGUUUUCCUUAUUGUCCCUUUGCUUUGUACAUUUUCUUAUUCACCAGAUUAGAAAAAUGGAUCUUGAAGCCAGGAGCCUUCCACCAAGCAUUAAUUCCAGCCUCCUUGUCAAACUAAGAGAGUUUUCAAGUCUGAUCUCAACAACUUCAAAAGCGAAGUCAAGAGAUCGAUGAGGUCAGCUGAUCGAUUGGGUCGAACCACAGACAGAAUCAAGAGACUGAAGAGCUUGGCGUCUCAGUCCUCCAAGACUUGCACAGUCAGAGACAGUCUUCCUCUCCUACGCACUAACGACACGGUAUGUGCUCUCUUCAACAAUUUUCUCUUACACGGGUUUUAUCAUGAAGAAGAAUACUACGUGUGAUUGGCAUCUCUUUUAACCAAUAGCUCGUUCUCUGAUACAUACAGCUUAGUGGAGUAGACGACAAUGUAGGAAAGAGCAAGAAGACCUUGACAGGCAUGACUAGGAGGAUGAACGGGAACAAAUGGACCAUUGGAGCCAUUAUCACCGCUUUGGUCGCCGCCAUUAUCCUCAUCUUCUACUUCAAACUCACCAAGUAAGCCUCUGUAUCUAAACUCUUUGUCGCUGAACAAAUGGUGUGCUGUAAGUAGUAACAGCUGAUGACGAGGAAGAAGAUAGAAGGAAGCUAAGACUCUGAGGGACAAAGAGGCUUCUGCAGUUACAGUGAAGCUACUGUAUAAAUAAUAUUAUAGAGGGAGUGAAAGAGAGACUUUAUCGAUGUAUUAGCUCAUGCCUCAUAGUUCCAGUUGAUACUCUAUAUUGUGAGAGAGAGUGAUACAGUUGUAUUGUGUGUGUUAUGGAUCAAUAGAGAUUUGGUUCAUGACAUCUGGCUUUUAUCUGUGUGAUAAGUUAUGUCUUUGCCACCUUUUGUAUUAUCACGUUCUCUUGUUUGUGUUUGCGUUUACAGUUGUGUAUUUUUAUACUAAAUGAUGCAGAUUGUUUUGUUUAUUAUUAAAAGCAAGCUUAAAUUACAUUUUAGACAAUUAGAACUUAAGCCUUGAGAAUAAGAACUAGUUGUGUGUUUUUCUUUCAUUCUUGAACCUGUUAUAAUCAGCGAGCAAGCUAUCAAUAACCUUACGCUUCAUGCUAUCCACCAAACCAGUCAAAAUCUGUAUAAACCUGGAAUAUAGCUGGUUCAUAAUAAGACCUUGAACUGAUAUUGGGUCAUCAUCAUGUAAACAGCUGCGACUCUGUGUUUUGUUUUUGUGCUAUGAAAAUUUCUUAUUUUAAAGCAUAACUUCUAUUGUUUUUCUUUUGUCCAUAAGAAAAUUUAUUUUGUCGUUAAAACCAAUGUGACCACACAAAACCACUUAUCUAAUCUAAUCUAGAAACAAUAUGAAACAAGCUUCCUGCCAAAGACAUACACCACAGUUACAACCACCUUUGAAAUCGACAUUCCAAGUAUAAACCAUCUUGGCCACAUGCUGUGAACAGUGGUUGAUCCUUCAGCUUCCUUACGCAGCUGUGAAGGUUCCAAAGAAGAGUGCGAUGACAAGCCACAGUAAGAACCAUCUAGUAUUGAGUUUUCUCCUCAGUGUCUCCGCUUUGUUGGCUUGUGGAGUUGUGCCAAGUUGAAGUACGUCGCCACGAAACCAAUGUUGUUGAGCAGGAGAUAGACAGUGUAACAUCGCGUGUCUCUGAAACGUAUGUAGCCAUUUGAAUCGAGUCCACUAGGUGGACUUGAGAAGGAAGCCACCGUGGUUAGGCCACCGAUGGCCAACACGAACUUGGUAAGUUCUUCUCGCUCUUUGUAAAGAGCCUCCAAAGGAUCCUGAAAUAAAUAAAGCGUAUGUAGCCAUGUGAUGUGGACUUGAGAAGGAAGCCAAUGUGGUUAGGCCACCGAUGGCCAACACAAACUUGGUAAGUUAUUCUCGCUCUUUAUUAAGAGCCUCCAAAGGAUCCUACAAUAAAGUGUACAAAUUUUGUAACUCAAAUCUUUUCCUCAUUCUCAGACAUCUCUCGUAGAAGACAUACUAACCGGUUUGCCUGAGAAAUAUAAAACUAAAUGUUUAAAGUACAUGCUUCUUAUAAAAUCAAUCUACAACUAUUCAAUAAAACUUGAUUUGCUUUUAUUAAACCCAUUAAAAGCAUUUACACACUCAAUCACACAACUAUACUUAAAUGCCACGACUUUCUCUUGUUCUAAAUAACUUUACGUCUUUACAUGUGUCUCAUUUGUAGACUUUCGUUACUACAUGUAACAUUUUUUCCAUGACUUUCAUGACCCGAAAUGAAGCUUUAAAAGUUCGUGAAACUAGUUUUCAAUAUAACAGUUCAUCAACUUAUCAACACAUUUACCUUAAUAUUCUAUGUUCCAAUAAAAUAAACAAACUUACUGCGAUUAUCGACGAAAUGGAGCUGAGGUUGAGGAAAGUCCUUGAUUUCCUAUCUUCAACAAAAAUAAAAAAGUAAAGAAAUGUUUUGCUAUUACAACAGCUUAUGUAGUGAUUCAGAUAAAACAAAAAAAUAAACACAACCUUCUGAUUGAUGCCACAUGAAAAAUGAUCAAUGUCUCUAAGCUUCUCAUCCUAAACGCCUUCCCCAUACAAUUUACAAAAUUUCUUCUCCUCUACAACUUUUGUCGUUAUGCGAAGAUGGUGACCCUCUGUUCAUUAAAUCGAUUGGGCUUUUUUUUCUUUCUUUUUUAGUAUCAUGUGCUUAAAGAUCCUAUUAUAAUAUUCUAAGUACGUUUUUCAUAGACGAGACAUCCCAAAUUUUUAUCUUUACUUUUCCUACACCAAUUCAUAGCUAUUUAUAUUUUGACGCAAACUAUAUAAAAUCGGAUCAGUUUACUCAAAACCCAGUACGUGGCUAAUCGUAAAAGAUACAUAGAAGUAUUCAACAAAUCAUUUCAUAUCAUUCAUUCAUUCACCCACAAAGAGCUCUCAAAUUGGUUUCGCAACUACAAAACAUCGAAUCCGUUCUUGGAUUAGGGUUUUGAGAUUGAGUCUCAUCAAUUUUUUUUGUUUCUUAUUGUAGAAAACUUUCACUUUGAGCUACAAGACAACUACUAGUGAAGGAGACCAGACAGUUCCAGAUCCGUUUCCAAAGUUGUUGGAUAAUUUAGGACCAUCUUUAGUACAUUUGUUCUUCGUCCCUGAGAAAAGAGGAGGAUCGAGUUAGGUUAAAUUUGCUACAGGUUAUGUCAAAUUGUGCGGGAGAAUGUCGGUAGUAAAAUGAACUUACUUAUGCACCUUAGUGUUUGUUAUCACACCUGAGUGUGUUGAGAUUCACAAUCUGAUUUUGAUGGAAGAAAGCGGGAAGAAACUAGUUAGCUACUUUCUUGAGAAUUCAUUUGUUCUCAAGAAACUCAUCCCGCGUUUUAGGGAUUCUUUAAUAUAUCUUACUCAGAUUUCUUCAAGGAGCUUCUUAAAUUCAGAAAGCGGUCUUGCAGUUGUCCGAUUAUUUUUCUUUGAGAAAUUGGCGAUUAGAGUUCAUUAUUUAUUUUGAUUUUGAGUAUCAUUGUGUAUGAAUUUCGUAUGGAUUGUAGAUUUUAUUAAAACCUGUUCCAUAAAGAUUUAUUUUUUGAUGGAAAAAGAGUAAACGACUUUAUAAGAUUUUGUUGCAGUUAAAAAUUAAAAGAUAAACAAAUAUAUAUUAUGUAUUUAUUUAUGAAAUAAGAAAAUUAAUUAAUACUUGAUUUGACAUUGUUAUCUUUAAGAAAUUUUAUACCUUCCAACAUGUUAAUAAAAUUGAUUACAUUAAAUAUAUCAACCGUGGCAGUUACAGCCCCCGAUUAAAGCAUUUGAUCUAGUCAGUAGAUUUCUUGGAAAUCAAGUUUCGAUUCCAUUUCAUUUGUGCAUGUUAAACGCCCUAGUAAUAGUUGUGCUGACUUCAAACAGAUCGGAGGCUUACUGAAUUUGAAUUUGGUCGACUUUGAGAAGGUGAACAAAAUUCGAUUGUGAGUUAUUUCAAAAACGUUUUUAUUGAUAAGAUGAAAAAGAGGUUACAGUGUUUGGACAUGUAAAGUAUAAAACACAAAUAUAAGUUGUUGUUUUUAACACUAGAUAAAUUACCAAUUACUAAUGAACAACUAUACAGAUAAUAAAGAGCCUACAAUACUUUGAAAUGUUCGAAGAGCUUUGCAUAUAAUAAUCUGUAAUAAACAAAACAUAAGUGUAAAAAUCUUUAAACAAUAACCAUUAAACUAUAGUGCUUAUACGAGUCGUAUUUGUUGAAAACAAAACAAGUAUGAGUCGUAUGACCUGAACAAAACAAAAUCGAAUAACAAACCGGAUCUAAUUGACCACUAACCGGAACCGGUUCAAUCGGGAAUUGACUCAAAUCCCAUUAAGCGGCGCAUCGCGAGAAAAAGAGCCAGCAACUGUUCAAAAUAUCUCAAUAGAUAGAUCAAAAAGCAAUCAUGGACACCAUCAUUCAUUAACAAAUAUCCUCUGAAACCUCCGUUUGAAUUAUUUCUAUCUUCUCACAUCGCAUCAUGGGUGCUUCAUCCUCUACAGAUAAUAAAGAAUCAUCGGAGAAGCGAGAAAUCGAAAGCCUCGCUGCUUCCACCGGUGCUCUUCCUCUGCUUCAACGAUUUUUCUCCAAGCUCGCCGAUCCUCAGACCAACACUGUUUCCUUCCAAUCAUUCAAGGUAAUAACGAUUAGGGUUCUGAUUGUUCUUAAAGAGAAUCUGGAUUUGCAGUUACAGUAGUUUUGGGAUUUGAUCGGAUCGUGAAUUAGUGUUUUGACACUGAGUUUGAUCGGAUCAUGAAUUAGGGUUUUGAGACGUUUCAUCAAUUUUUUUUUGUUUUGUUUCUUAUUGUAGAAAAGCUUCACCUUGAGCUACAAGACAACUACUUGUGAAGGAGACCAGAAAGUUCCAGAUUCGUUUCCGAGGUUGUUGGAGCAUUUAGGACCAUCUUUAGUAGAUUUGUUCUUCGUCCCUGAGAAAGGAGGAGGGUUGAGUUGGGUCGAGUUUGCUAGAGGUUAUGUCAAAUGCUGCGGAAGAAUGUCUGCCUCCAUGUCUUACAACACUCUGUUGAGAGUGUUUCAUCUGACAUCUCAAAACGCAGGCUUUUCCUCGAAGCUGGAGUUCGAAUCUGACGAAGCUGAUUGUAAGAUCAACGGGUCGGUUUCCACCGUAGAGUUGGUUAUGUUUCUGUGGAUGUGUUGGACGAUGUCGUGGGAUGGUCGAAGCAGUAGAUCCAGCGACUUGUUUCUUCCUGAUAUAAGCCACUUGGUUAUGUCAGCGCUUGUGUCUUGCACCGAGUCUGGAGCUAGUUUGGAUGUUUGGGAUUCUGAUGUUUUCGGAUUGGAGCUCGAGCUUCCUGUCGGGAAAUUCCUGACGUGGGCAUUGACGACGAUUCCAAGCCUCACUGAGUGUCUAUCUCACUUCUGCAACGCGAGGCUUCAGCAUUGUUUAAAUGCAGAGGUACUCUUUCUUUACCUGUUGCUUUUCAUUUAACCGUAUGGUGUUCACUAAAAGUGGAUUACAGGAUGGAUCUGGGCCUUCAAAGUCAGCUGGUGGAGAUGAUUCUGCGUCCAAGACAUGUGAUAACACUCUUCUAACAUGUGGAAGGGCAUGGGCGAUUUCUUUGACGUCCAAGAAUACCUUAAGUGAGGAGAUCUUGAGCUCAUGCUUUCCCUGCAAUGGCGAUGAACCCAAUGAAAAUCUUCUUUACCGGUAUCCCACUGUCCUACUUCUGUGAAGGUUCUGUCUCUAUAGUGUAACUUAACGUGUUCAAUGUUCAUCUGUCUUUCAGCUCAUACCAUCAUGGGAAAGGCAUGAAUCGAUUGUGGGACAACGUUCAAGGGUAUCAUGCUCCUAUACUAUUGCUAGUUUCUGCAAGCGGUGGAGUUGAGCAGGAGGGUAGUUCAAGCGAGAGGAAGUGGGUCAUUGGUGCUAUCUUGCAGCAAGGUUUUCAGAACAGAGAUACAUUUUACGGAAGCUCUGGGAACUUGUUCUCCAUUAGUCCUGUCUUUCACGCAUUCUCAUCUUCAGGUACUGCACACAUCAGAGAAUUUUCGUAGGCGUAGUCAGUUGUUUUGCAUUAGUGUAGUCUUAUAUGGUUUUGUGUUCAACUUCAGGGAAAGAGAAAAACUUUGCAUAUAGCCAUCUUCAUCCCUCUGGUAGAGUCUAUGACGCAAACCCAAAGCCUGUUGGAAUUGGUUUCGGGGGAACACAAGGAAACGAGAGAAUCUUCAUCGACGAAGACUUUGCUAAGAUCACAAUCCGUCAUCAUGCAGUUGAUAAAACUUACCAGCCUGGCUCUCUCUUCCCAAACCAGGUAACGCAAGUGCUGGUCUAUAUAUAUGAUUCAAGUUUUGUGGUCUUGGAUAUUUAUAACAUCUGUUGUUGCAGGGUUAUUUACCAGUAGAGGCUUUGGUGUCAGAUGUUGAAGCAUGGGCAUUAGGUGGAAAAGCAGCUAAGGAAGUUCAAGAAGCAUACAAGAAAAGAGAAGAGCUUUUCACUGACCAACGUCGAAAGGUAAGAAAAGAUCAAUAAGAUCUAUUUAUGCAAAUGCACAAAAGGACUUGCAAGUUUGACAAGUUGUUAUAUGUAUCUACAGAUUGAUUUGAAGACGUUUACGAAUUGGGAAGAUUCACCUGAGAAAAUGAUGAUGGAUAUGAUGGGGAAUCCUAAUGCUCCGGCUAGAGAAGAGAGGUAAUGAGUGAGGGGAGCAAGACUUGUUUGGUAUAUUUAUGCACAUACGUUUUCUCAAUAGAGGUUUCGUCUGUAAAGUAUAUAUUUGAAGAAACUCAUUUGCUGUUUGCGUAAGUUAUGUUUACUAUUAUCGUUGCCAAAACUCGAACCAGAGUGUUGAGUUUGAGAUUUACCCAAUAAAAAAGAGUUUUAUUUGAAGAGUUUUAUAGACGUUACAAUGAAUCAACAAGUAGAUAAUUGUGGUUUUAAGUUUCAACUAAGCAACUCUUUUCGUGUGAAAUGGUUUCCAGAGCUCUCUGCUUUCUGCUGAGAAUCAUCUCCAUCACUUUAUUCAUAGACUUGAUCUCCUCCUCUGCCUUCUUUAUCUUUCUUUCCUCCGACUCUUAUCUUCUUUCUUCUUUCUUCUUACCAAAACCAUUUUACUCUUUUCUUCAUCUCUUGCCUCACAGAUCCUACAACAAAGAAGGCCAUACCAAAACUUGGUUUUCUCUAAACCGAAUCAAUUUUAGUUAUAGUUCGGUUCAUCCUAACCCAAAAAAAAAACUAAAUGGCUUAAAAAUCGGUUAGACCUGAAUCUGGUUGCGUAAGCCUUUGGUAGAAGGUGAUGAACUUCAUAGAGAAGCUGUACAAGGGGGAUUAAAAUACUUGGUUUCUCUCCCAUUCAAGUUCCCUUACCUUUCUCUCACAUUCUUCUCUAUCCAUUCUCUAUCCAUUGUUCCUGUGUUAUUGUUAUUUUCUGGCCAUCUCAACCACCUAUGUAACUUCCCCAUCUGUUCUAGAGAAAUAGACCGAUGUAACUUCCCCAUCUGUUGAGUGGUACGGUAUUGUGCUCAAAGUCCCCUUGAAUACUAAAUUGGAAAUGUUGCUGUUGCUACGGUUUUGACGAUAGAAUAUAACUCAUAUGACAGGUUGGAAACUGAAUUAUUUUCUUUCAAACCAUGUCUUCAAAUCGAUCACAUUAGUUUUGGUUUUGCUUUUUGUUUCAAUGUUAAAUCAAUGUCCAUAAAAUUGGUUUUGUUCUUUUAUACUCUCACUAAAAAUAGCAGCAUUCUUAUUAAUAGAUGUAUACAUUGUGACAAAACUCAAUUCUAGUUAAUACAUCCUCUAUUUUUGAUGAAAAAUAUAAGUUAGAGAUGCUCUUACACAUUGAAUCCACAAGCUAAUGACCAACAAACUAGUUUAUUCAAAGUGCAUAAUUUACUAGCAAAACCUCCAUUAAAAACAGUGCUUGACAAACAUGAAUUCUCUCUUUCAAGCUCAAGAACAACGCUUAAACAAUAUAUGUAUCAGGUAGGAUUCAAAAGCUCUAAUCCGAAACAUGAAACAGAGUAUCACAAGGACAUGCAUAGGUAUUCAAAGCCUUAUCUGCUAUACUUCCUUUUAUCUGCUUUAAGUUUAUCCCUAAAAUCACACCAGUAUGUUGGCUCAUCUUGCAAAACAAGCCUCACCAGCUUCUUAUUGAGAAAAUGAAGACAUGAAUUAAACUUCAUGGUUUCUGAUCAAAAGUUGACAUCAAGAAAGAAACAAUACAAAUCUAUAUGUCCCAACCUGAAACCCAAAGCUUGAGACACAUAUCAAGAGUUAUACAUACCCAAAACUGAACAAGAGUAAACCCAAAUCAAGCGAGCAAGCAUAUCAUUGCUUCUUGUCUUCUGCUUUCCUCGGCUGCAAAAAAACAACAAACCAAACCAACACACACAAAGAUCAGUUCUCUCUUCCUCUCACAAUGAUAAAAUGUGUGAAAAGACAAACGGACCUUAACACCAGGAGCUUCUUGGUGAAUCUCUUCCUCAGGGAUGAUGACAGGCCACUGCUCCCCGGCUUCACGGAACAUCUGCUCCGUCUCGAGAUACUGCCCUUUAUCAAGAAUCAUCUUCCUGAUCGACUGAGCCGACGUGGCAGCCGCAUCGAAAGCUUCCUCGACACCAUUGACGAAAGUGACACUGAUCUGCGGUGGCUGAUCGUCGGUUCUGCGUUUCACCAGAACCUGACAGUUAGGGUUGGACUCUUUGGCCUUCCUCGCGUUGCACUGAGCCAAGAACUCGACGCAGGAGGCGAGUCUUGGGUCCAAUGUGUUGAACUCGAUCUUUACUUUUGAUAGGAACUUCAACAUCCUCUUCUCAAACCUAAAACAGUCAUUGAUAACAAAUCGUGAAGCGAGAUCUGAAGAUGAUUUCUACCAAAAUCUGAUAACCCAAUGAAAUUAAUAAGUAUACGAAAUUAAAUUGUGGGUUGAGAAGGAGAUCUCUGACUUACACAGGUCGACGGGGGCUCUCCGGCGAGAAUUGAUUUUAAGGGGAAAAUGCAGAAGAAACCGAUGCAGGUGGAAGGAAGACUGAAGAAAAGGGUUUUGGGCUUUCGACUGUGUAAAAGGACGAUAGUACCCUUAAUAUUUAUUCCCCUUUGCUUCGGUUUGGUUCGUUUUUCUGAUAGAGCCGCAGAGAAUUUUUGCAAUAAGGAUAGAUAACUAUUUUGAUUUUCUUGUAAUUGCAUUAACUUGAACUGAAGUACAAUGUUACAACGCUUAGGAAUCUAAAACAAAGCCCGAGAGAAAUAUGGGAGACACACUGCCGGCAAAGACACACCUUUCCAGAACCAUGACACUAAACAAGAGAAAUAAAGAAACUACAACAACAUAGACAACAAGAUUUUCAUCUAAAAACUUCAAUCUUUCCAUCAACACUGAUGAUAGGACCACGGCAAACCAACAUUGAAGAAAGGGAGAUAGCAAACCCCAACAGAAGUGUUAAAAACACCAGAUAAAGCACCAUUGGAAUAAAGGAUAAGGUGAUCUCUUGCUUAACCCUUGUCCCAAGGUAAUCAGAGACCCGGCGAAGCCACAAGUUCAAUACACCAUCCUACAAACAACUGUUGGAGACAACCACUCAACAAACCCAAACACUGGAAAGAGCAUGACACCUCAAAGAAACUACAAACCCCACUUCACAACCGGCAAGCGCAAAGAAGUAACCAGAACACGAACAACGCUCUGUAGCACCGGAAAAAAAAAACUGAUUUGGAGGAAGAAACAAAGCUAAUAUUGGAGCCACAAAGGAGACGACUCCCUUCCUACAGUUUCAUAAUGAAACACACCCGACAGGAAUCUGAACUUAUCAAGAAGAGGUUAGCAGCACAAAGGCAUUGCCCUCACUAGACGCCAAGAAACCCCAACCCGCAUGCGAGAACCGAGGAGAGGCCAGACCAGAACCCAACAACAUCAGAAGACUGCAUACCACCACACGAUCAGAGAACCGACGCAAAGACCAUCGAAAAGCAAACUCCACCAGAUCUACUACCACCCACAAAGAAAUAGGGAUGGCAAUAAAUAAUCUGGACCGCGGGCCUGACCCAUAAAGACUUACUGCGGGGCGGAAUCGGGCCACCUUGGUAAGCCCGCAAAAUAUAUAUGUAUUUUUUUUUUGAUAAAUGGUCAUGAAAACACACGAAGACAUUACAAAAUGAAGAUGCGAGUAUAAAUUAUACUAUCGUGAAAUUACAUCGCAGCUAUGAAUAUUACAUUUAUGUAACUUUAAAAUUUUAAAUUAUAUAUCUUCUUUGAAACGUUUGUCAUUUUUCUAUUAAUUUGGAGUAUUUCAGACCUGUGAAAAUCAUAAAUUUUAUCUUCUGUUUGGAUAUUUAAAUAAUCUGUAAAGCAUAAUUUCAUAUUAAUCUGUAAAGUAUAAUUUCAUAUCUACAAAAUCCUCUUGUAACCAACUAAACUAGAGAAGAAUUUAACAAAUAGUUGGCCCUUUAAAUACUUUAAUUAUCUAAGCCCCCAAGCACAUGCUUUACUUGCUUCCAUUCAGAGCAUCUAAAAAAAACUCUAUUUUGAAGUUUCUAAAACUCUAUAUUUGAAGUUUUAAGGUGUUUUUCUCCAAAAGCAAAACUUCAAACUUAACUUCAAAGCUAUUUGUAUUUUAUAAUAUGGUCCUAAUUUAAAUUCAUAAAACUUUUGUAUAUAACUAGCACAUAUGUAAACAUAUUACAAUAAUAUUAAUUAAUGAAAUAUUAUAUUAAAAUAUAAAAAUUUAAACAAAAUAACUUAACUAAUAUUAAACUUCAAGCAAAAUACCAUAUUAUUCCAUAAAGUGAUUUUCGUAGUGCAUAUAUGAUCUACUAGUGCAUUUUGAAUUAAAAAUAGUUUUCCUCAUUUUUAAUUUGUAGAUUAUAGAUAAUAAAUGUUGAAAUCGGGAGAUAUUAAUACUUGUAAAUACAUUAGAUCAGAACAAGAAAGUAAAAGACAAACAUAAAAUAUUUCUAAAAGACUAACUUUUAUCGAUGAUAUUAAUACUCGUGAAUAUAUUCAAUAUGAACAAGAAAGAAUUGUACGAAAAGAUAUCAUCAACAAAAACAACAACCAUCUUCAAUUACACCAAAAAACUAGACAAUAUUUGAAAUUUUGAAGGUUCCAGAUCAAACUUACCUAACUAUUAGUGUUAUUGUAUUAUUCAAAUUUGUGUAAUAGUUAUGUCUUUAUAUAAUUUUUUAAAAGUUUUUUUGUUAAGUUUCUUUUGUAUAUUUCUGUUAUAUAAAUCUAGUUUUAAAUAUUUUAAAUAUUCUUUUAACAAAAUACAAAUAAAAAUAUGAAACUUCAAAUUUGAAGUUUUGAGUAGUGAAACUUCAAAUAUAGAGUUUCACCUCUCAAAACUUCAAAUUUGAAGUUUUGAAGUUCAUUUUUAGAAAGUAAAAAGCUUUAUAUUUGAAGUUAUAGAGUGUCUUUUGUAGAUGAGCAUGGCUCUAUGUCUACUACUAUACUAUGUGAUUGUAAUUGGUUUAAGAUAUUUAAAGGUGUAUAGUGAUUCAGUUAUUGUUUAUGUAUUUAGGCAGUGCUGAAAAAUUAAUUCACGCAUGUUCAAUUUGAUGUUAGCAUUUUAAAAUCAGGUCGUAUGAAAGCAAGAUGAUCACCUAGACAAUUUUGAGUUUGACAUAACAAUAUAAUAUUUGAUAAAAUCUUUCAAACUUUGUUAAUAUGCUCACAAGUCAUAGUAUUACUAUUUGGUUGGUGGCCUAACACAUGUCUUUCGUCAUUGUGAAUAACAGUAAACAAAAUUGGUUUCUCACUUCUCUAGUUUCAAGAUAAAAUAUAGUAAUAAAUUUAAUGUUCUGGGUGGUAAAUUAUGAAAAAGAAGCAUCUCAUUAUAGAAACCUUUUUGGGUUAAGUAAAUGUUAUAAUCAUUCAAAAUUAGUUAUAAACUAGUAGAUUGCUGUCCAAAAAAAAGACUAGAUUAGGUCUAAGCAUUGCACAAGACAAAUGUAUUUAUUAUAUUAUUUAACUAACAAAUCUAUUAAAAUGCUAAUUCUACAUUGCAAAAUAAAUUGACUUCAUUAUUUUUUACAAAAAAUGUAACAAGAAUCUUCAUAUCUCACACGAACACAUGAAUUACAAGUCUACAACAGAUAUUACACCUCAGAAAUUCCAAAAGCAACCCGAUUCUCCCAUACCGGCUAAAGCGGAGGGGUCAGUACCAGUACCGGGGAACUGGGUUUCGUGACUGUUAAGCAACAGUUUCAUUAGCGAAUCAUUGUCUGUUAGAAACAGAGGAUCAGGGUAAAACAGAGGACCAGAACCGUCUUUGGACUCGAGAUGAAUGAGUCUUUUAUCUUCGGUUUCUUGGUCGGAGAAGCAGGUCACGUGAGUAGACGAACCAGGGAAGGAAUCUCGUUGAGAAGAAUCCAUCAACGAAGGUAAUCCGACCGGUUCAAUCCGGUUAACGUGUGAAUCAAGCAACAUUAAAUGGGACAUAUCAACCUUUGUACCAUCGGCACGUUUAUGGAAAACACGGCAAAUAACCCAAUCGUUCUACAUUCACACACAACAAAACAGAACACAAAAUAUCAAUUCAAUUCCACACAAAAAAAGACAAAAAAUGUCUUUGAUGUUAUUGUUACCUUAGCUGUCUGGGAGAGAUGUUGGAUAGAAUAUAUGCCUUCUAAUCGAUAUUCAUGCAUAACCCAAUUGGUUCUUACUCCUUUAGGAGCUCUUCCUUUGUAGAAAACCAGAGUCUUCUUCAUACCCACAAGUGAUUUCCCCUUGAAAAUCUCUUUAUCUUUGCCUGUGGCUUUCCAGUAACCGGCUUCAGUUGCCCGGUUUGUCCUUAAACCGGUUGGGUAUUUCCGGUCUCGCACACAAAAGAAAUACCAUUCUUUCUCCCCUAUCUUAGCUUUCCCUAUUUCACCAAAAGCCAUCACAUAUAUAUUUGUGAGUAAUAAUAAAUUACAGAACAAUAAUAACUAACAUAAAAAAGUUUAAAAAAGGUGGAAAAAGUUUAGAAAAGGCAUGAUACUUCAUGCAGUCUCAAACCAUUUGUAAAGUUUUGUGGAAUCAUGUAUAUUAAACAUAUAUAUUAUUUUUUUUUAACUUCAGAUAUAUAAAUUCAUAUUUACAGCUUUUGUUAUAGUACAAACGUUUUUUAAUUGCUGGAAAGGUUGUACACUUACUUGGUAACUCCCAAGGCUCGAUCUUGUUGAGAUCAACUUCACCAAUGGCGGUGGCAGAGAAGAAAGUGUUGAAGACCUUUUGUUUGAGAUAGUGAGUUAUGAGUUCUUCAUCAGUAGGGUGAAAUCUGAAUCCAGGUGGCAGAUCAAUUUGCUCUUCAUCUUCUACUAUUUCACCGAUUCUUGAUGCAUCGUAAUCCAUUUAUCCUAAUAAAGUUUAUUAGAAACAAUCAAAGUUAUGUAAGAGAGAAGAGAAGGGUUUUUGAAGAGAUGAAUAAAAGGGUUUUGAAGAGAGAGAGUGUGUUUUUUAAGAGAGAAGAGGAAAGGGUUUGAGCAACGAAGCUCCUCUCUAUAUACUAGUUUUCCAUCAGAGAAAUAAGGAAAUAAUAUUAUUAUUGUUGAUAUUGACCAAUAAUUGGUCAAUCUUUUGUGUAUCAAGUUCUUCUUUCAAAGUUUCAAACUAUGAGUUGUAUUGAAUUUCAAGAGUUUUUACCUACUAUAAAGAAAACUUUUAUCUUCGCUCUAAAUGAUUUAUUGUAUAUAAAUGGGUUUUCCGAUUUAAAUCUCGUACAGCCAUCAAAUCAUAUUAUAAAUCAGAAAAUGGGUGUACACACACAUUAACACAUACUAUAGUUAGUUUUCUUAGUAUGAUAGAGAAAGAGGAAGAUGCGUCGAUUGUUAGGCAACUUAAGAUGUGUAAUAUUCAAUAAUCAUUUCUCAUCAUUAAAAAUAAACCUUUCUAUUUCAAGAACUUUAAUAUUUCCAAGUUUCAAUUUGACCAGGAACACUUCACCUGUGGCUCCCUGUCCCUUUUUUGGUUAAUGUGAUAAGAACAAUCUUAUCACAUUAAAUCCUGAUGUUUUGUCCAUUCUUGAAACUAAUUAUUAGUUGCUGGAAAAAGAAUAUCAGUAGAAAACUAUGAUUAUUGGUUUGAAAACAUUUUACAUUGAAACUAUAUGAUUAUAUAAUUGAAACAUUAUAAAUUACCGCGGGUCACUAUUAUUGGUGUUGUGAUUCAGGAUAACUAUGAGAAAAGAGUUUACCAUGGUUGGAUAUAAUUUGUUUUAUUUACUUAACAAGUGUUAUCCCUCUCAUGAAAAGAUUAUGCAUGCAUGAACCUUGGAAAGUAGAUUCUUUAGUAUUAAAGGAACUCUUUUCUUUGUCCUAUUACAGUGCCUACCGUUAUAAGAAAUUAUAAUACUAGUAUGCAAGAUUUUUUAAAAAAGUUCAGUGAAAAAUUGGAAAGAAAAACGAUUUCCUUGUGAAGAUGGGUAAUGAUGAUGAAUGGAUGAGGAUUGUGAUGAUGAAAAUCUGUUAGAAUGUGAAGACAUUUUGAACAACCUCAACCUUAUCAUAUGUGAAUUAUUUGAUUUUUUUAAUGAUCGAAUCACGCGUUUGUGCAUACGAGGUUGUCAUUUGUCACUUCUACAACAUGUGCAUUUUAUUCUUUUCUAGCCAAAUUUCUUCCUCAGUAUUUUUAUUAUACUUGCUGUUUAAAUCCUUAUAUAAUCGAUGUAUUGGUAUUUUUAAUCAACUAUAGUUAUCAUAAAUUGGAAUUUGGAUCGAUACUGGAUAUAUAAUUUAUAUCUUUCUAUUGCACUCUUUUCUUUUCAACUAAUUUCCCAGACUCAAAAGAGAAAAGAUACAUAAGUUGCCAGAAAAAAAAUCAAUGUAUGUUUCACACUAAAAGAGCUAAUGACAAAAUUCAUAGUACAACAAAAAGAAUAUCAAUUCUAGAAGGCCAUAAAGCAACACUCAAGUGAUUGAUGGAACACGUGGAUUUUUCAAAUUAUGUUCCUUCUUCUCAAAAACCCGUUUAAGUUUCCUUGCCUUUUUGACCAAAUUCCCCAAUCUAUCAUUUGUCAAGUUGCUCCUCCAAAAAAUUGCUUAUACUCUUUUUAACAGAGAUGAGUAGGGUUACAUAGACAAAUUGGUUAUAUAUAUUAGGGGUGGGCAAAAAACCCAAACCGAACCGAACCGAACCAACCAAACCGAAGUUAAACCGAACCAAACCAAACCGUGCUCUUUAUGUAACCCAAUUGGUUCAUGUUUUACUCAACCCGAACGGUUUGGUUUGGUUUGGGUUUAAACCGAACCAAACCGAACCAAACCGAUAAUCCAAUAUAUAUAUAGUAAAAAUAUAUAUGAUAUAUAUAUAUGUAUUAACAUAUUGCAAAUUUUAGUUAAAGUUUCGUUUUUCAUUUUUUCAUAACUUCCAUAUCUUUAAAAAAAAUUAUAAAUACGAUUCAAAUAAUACUAUUAUAUAUAAAAUCAUGUAGCAUAAGUUUUUAUAUUCUCACUCUAUCGUUUAUGAGUUGAUUAUUUUUUAAUAAAAGUAUAAAACUAAUGCCUUCAUAUUUUAUAACCAACCCAAACUACACCGAACCAAACUAGACCAUAAUAAUGUAAACCAAACUAAAUCUAAACCAAACCGAACUGAACCGAACCGAAUUAAACCCAAACCGAACCCAACCCAAAGCUACUUUGGUUUUAAUUGGUUUGAGUUUUAUAAAACCCAAAUUACCCAAACCAAACCGAACCCAAACCGAACCCGAAACUAAACCGAAAUGCCCACCCCUAAUAUAUAUAGGGGUUAUUUGUGAAAUAACCAAAAAAGAGUAAUUAGUAUUUUUUAAUGAGAGGUUAGAAAGAAAUAGGAAGAGAAAUGAGGAAAGAGAUGGUUGUUUUGGUUAGAAAAUGAAUUUGAGGUUUUUAUGUAUAUAGGGACAUAUUUCCCUUAUAUACUUUUUGUUUUCAAAAACAAAAACCAAUAUAACUACCGCAUCAUUAUUUUUCAGUUUGUUACUGUGAAUGUUUUUGAUUUGAACGCCAUUGACUAGAUCAUGUCCAACUUCUUCAUGACCAUUAUUCCACUAUCUCUUUAUCAUGGCCUAAAACCUCGCGCAUUCAUAUCAAAAAUCUCAUUAGAAUCGAAUUGGAGAGUUUUCAAAACUCUAAUGCUUCUCCAUAUCAAACAUCUCAUUAAAAUCGCCAAAUAUUAUUCACUACUUCUUAGUUCUUACCUAUUAUGGGAGAGUUGUGAUGAUCCAUCAGUUCCCCAUAUAGAACUUCUACCGUUAUCGCUCUUCCUCGAAGUUAGAAGCGUAAAGUGUUUUAUGAUAAAAAGACAGAAAGGAAAUGGGAUGGCAAGAAACUUAUAGAAUUUUUGUUAUGAUCUAUAAUACAAUUAUUAUUACUUCGAUUUGUUUGAUUAUUUUUUACUCGUGGUUCUUUUACUAAUUGAUUAGUUAAGUUUGGCUACACUUGUUGUCUUAUAAGAUUGAUAUCGUAGAAAAGUGAGAAGCUUACAAAUCAGUUUGACGUUUUUGAUUGGGACUCGGAUAUAGUGGAUUCAGAGGAAGUGGAUGAAGAUUUCAUUGUCGACCUAAUGACUCUAUCAACUAGCAGACUUCUUUAGGAUAGGUUGGUGGCAAUUUCUGAAAUGCAACAGAGAUGAAUGCUACUUUAAGCUCAACUCAACUAAGGCAAAAGGAAGUCGAAUACAUAGGAAACAUGGUUGACGUGGUGGGUUUGGCUAACCUCACUAUGGUGACCAUGGAUAUCCUCUAGAUAGUUUUAGCUCUUGCCCGUUUCACUUUUAAGCAUUCAAGUUGCUUACUUGUUGCUUGUAAAACCUUUUCUAAAUUGCAACUGUUGGCUUUACUGUUGGCUUAAUAUAUAUGUACAAUGAGAAGGUCUAUUAAUAUUCAAUGGUGUGAGUUCUUCUACACACAUUUUCUUAGUGUGAGCCCGUCCCGUGCAUCAUAAACGUAGACCUCAUGUCGAAGUAGAACAUUCAAUUAUUUUUAUGAGAUGAGAGCAUAUAUCUACUACGAACAAAAUGCAUAUUAUUUUACUAAACAAUUGGGACGAAGAUAAUUUGUAUUAUUCGUUCCAAGUCCAACUGAGACAUUUUUUGCCAAUCAAUACAUUAUAUUAAAAUCUUCAAAUGAAGAUGAUGCAUACAAUACAAAAUUGAAAAGAUAAAUGGAAUGAUAAAAAGUUAGAAAAGAAAAGUAUAAGCCUAACAUCCAUGAGUCUCUAGCCUACUUCAAUUCUUGAAUGGAGCUAAACCAGACUUUCCAGUGGUAAAUAAAACUGAAACGUUCUUCUCGAUUAAUUGAGAUAUGUUGGCUAUUAACAAUGAUGAGUUCAUUUGCUAAGAACUUUAUGCUAUUUUUUUUUUAAUCAAAAUUUCUAAAGCUAAUCCUUUUUUCUAACACCUUUCUAAAGCUAAUCAAUCGUUUCCUUUUGUUUUAGGCUUUUAGCAGUUCUUUCCUUUUCAGGAAAUAUAAACUAAAUUCUAUAAAUCUUUUGCUACUUGGUGGUGCCAAAACCACGUGUCGCUUGAUUUUUUGAAACGGCAAGAGUUUCAUACGUAUCGCCAACCCCAACCUUCUCUUGGACACGACACAAGUAAGACGAAUUCCAAAAUAGACACGUGUUUGGAUACAAAUGGGAGUUAAUAAGUAUCAAACGCUAUUCUUAAUUAUCGUAAUUCAGUUGCUGAAAAGAACUGAUUUAGCUAAUUAAGUGGAAUUUCACUAAUUAAAGUUUGACCAGCUUCCUGAUUCGAAACAUGAGUUGCCAGUGGGAACAAACACGACUCAAAACUCCGUUACCAUGAUUCUGUGCAAGACCCAAUGGAGGAAAUGAUGGAUGCAGACUCUUCAGGAUGAUUGCAUGAACUUUGACUGACGUAGAAGUCCGGUCCACAGAGAUCCUAAGAGUUUUAAAUGUUGUUUCGAUGAGUAAUGCAUAACACUAUUAAUUAGUUUCCAAAAUUGGACUGGUUAAGGUAUUCUCAAGAUGAGUUAUAUUGGGUGCUAGUAUUGUAUAUAGGUUUAUUCAGUACGCUAUAUCUUUUUGUGGCGAUGUUUUGUCCUGAGAGAUUCUUUUAUCACUACAAGAAAACAGCUUGUUUCCUACAGACGAUUUAGUCGAAAUAAGCCAUUUCUGAUGAAUUUCGUUGGUUCUAUCUCGUCGAAAAAAAAACGUUUGAAUUUCGUCGGAUUUCUGACGCAUUUCCGACGGACAAAUUUCCGACGAAAUACCGACGAAUAAAUUUCCGACAAAAUACCAACGGAUAAAUUUCUGACGAAAUUCUGACAAAUCUUAUCCGUCGAAACUUUUGUAAACUAUUUUUAAAAUAAAAUAAAUUUUAUUUUAAAUAUAAUAUUUAAUGAAUUACGUAUAACAAAUUUUAAAAAUCAUUUAUAAUAAAUAUUUUUAAUUCUUUAUAUAUAAAUAAAAUAAAAUUUAAAAUUAGGAAAACGUUUUAACUAAAUCUUUUUUGUAAUUGAACCCAUUUCCUAGAAAUUAAAAACAUUUUAAUUAAAUCUAAAAAAAAACAAAAACUUUUUAUAGAUUGAAAAGGUUUAAAAAAAUGUGAAAAACGUUUUGAUAAUCUUUAGUAACCAGAAAAUGUUUUAUAAAUUAUAACAAACAAUAAAAACUUUUUAUAAGAACUUAAAUUUUUUUUUUUGAUGAAUUUUUUUUUUAAAGUUUAAAACGUUUUAUAAAAUCAUAAAAACGUUUUAAAACAACAAUAAUAAUAAAAACUUGAAAAUGUUAUAUAUAUAUUUAUUUAUUCUAAUAAAACUCCAAAAAUGUUUUAAAAUUUGAAAAAACAUUUUAUAAAUAACAAAAAAAAGAUUCACAAAACAACAAAUUAAAUAAACAAACUACAAAAUCACAAGCAAAACCUAUCUAAACCACAACAUAACAACAAAAUCUAACAUCUAAUUCAUAAUAUUCUUCAUCCUAACAUAAAUCCAACAUUCAAAACCUUAAAUUCACAAUUUCACAAUCAAAAAGUAACAUAAGUCAAAUGAGAAAAGGAAAGAGAUGACUUACAUAAUUUGUGAGGUGGAUUUGAGGAGUUUGAGCUUAGAAUCGUUGGAUUAGAGAGAGAGAAUCAAAGAGAAUUUGUGUAUGUUUAGAGAGAGAGAGAGGAGAAGUGAGGAAGAAGAAGGGGCUUGCGCUUUUAUAUUAAAAAUUUCUGACGGAUUGGAUUCAUCAGAAAUCCGUCAAAAUUUUUUAUUUUGACGUUUCACGAAAAAUUAGGCAGGGUUUUUCGGGGCAAAUUUCAAUUUCCGACGAAUAUACCAUUUUCGUCGGAAAUUCGCCGGAAUAUAUCAUUGUCGUCGGAAUUCGACAGAAAUAUAUUUGUCAGAAAUUUCCUACGAAUUUUGAACGAAUUAUAAUAGCCAUCGAUAAUAAAUUGAUGACUUUUAGGGUUUAAAAUCUUCAUAAUGUUUAGAAACACUUGAAAACACACAAACUAAAGAUUGCAAGAUGGAUCACCGAAAAGUAUUUGCUUAAGUGUAUAAGUGUUAACGAGAAAUAUUAGGUAUCCGUCCAUGCAUCAAUCGCAAGAAUAUAUAUAUAGCUUAAAUAAUUGAGGCAAUAUUAAUCUACAUCAUAUUUAUCACUUAAUAUAUCCGGAUGAACAUUUAUUUUGAAUAUUUCAUAUCUAAACUCAUGGUCGUCGAAAAUUCGUUGGAAAUUUGUGUCGAAUAUGCUACGAAAAUUUCGCAAUCCAUCAGAAUUUCGUCGGCAAUUUUCUAGGAAGAAAUUUGUCAAAAUUUCGUCGGACAUUUCUGACGAAUUUCCUACAGAAAUUUUUCAUUUCGUCGGAAAUCCGUCAGAAAUUUCUGAUGAAUUUCCGACGAAAACAUAAACCCCAAAUCUAUACCCUAAAUCGUGUAAUCUUCCUUGGGAGUCGUCGGUAUUUUGUCGCUUAUUUUUGAUGAAAGAAAGUUCGUCGGAAAUUCCUAAGAUAUUUCCGACAAAUGGUAAAAUUUUAUAUUUCUCGAAAUCCGUCAGAAAUUUCUCAGAAAUUUCCGACGAAUAUUUCUUCCGUCAGAAAAUGAAUAUGUUUUCUUGUAGUGUAUUGCACAUGGCCAUUUGCUAAUAAUCCAGUUUUAUGGAAUGGAUCUUGUGUGUUCACGAGGUUCAUGUGGCAGUCUUUUUCAACGAUUGGGACUUGGCUUUGUUUUAACUAGUUUUUCUAGGUGUUCCGGAUUAAUGAAAAUUCUAAGUUGGAAUUGCAGAGGACUCAGGAGUAAAUGGAUUAUUAGUUAUUUGAGAGAAAUUAGGGGGAAAUAUAAACCAGCGUUUCUAUUUUUAUCGGAAACCAAACAGCAAUUUGAUUUUGUGCAGUCUUUUUAAUUUCAUUUUGGAUAUUCUCAUCUCCAUACGGUUGAUCUUAUAGGGAGGAGUGGUGGGCUGGCUCUAUUUUAUGAUUCCACUUAUAAGGUAUAUAAACUCUUCAAGCAACAUAAUUAUAGACGUCGAGACAAAAUAUAACGGAAAAUGAAUUUUUAUUUCACUUGUUUAUGGCGAGUCAAAUCAAAAUUUUAGAGACCAGAUUUGGGAGAGGCUUACAAUAGGGAUCUUGAGGGACGAACCAUGGUUUAUUAUUGGAGACUUAAAUGAGAUUACGGGUAAUCAUGAGAAACAAGGAGGAGUUCUUAGACACGCAGAUACGUUUUUACAAUUCAAUAAUAUGAUAGAGAACUGUGGUCUGAUGGAGUUUCCAAGUCUUGGUAAUACUCUUUCUUGGAACGGAAGAAGAGCUGGACAUGUGUUAAGUGUCAACUGGAUAGGGCAUUGGCAAACAAUGAAUGGCAUAAUCUGUUUCCUUGCUCUUUUGUUGAAUACUUGGGUAUGAUUGCCUCUGAUCACAGGCCGAUUGUGGCAUCAAUAGAGGAUAAAGUACUAAACUUUUGACGGUAAUUUAGAUUUGAUAAAAGAUGGAUAGGUGAGGAUGGACUGAUGGAAUCUAUUGAACGUGGAUGGUCCACUCAGAGGGGUGGACGCCGCAUGGGUAUAGUAGAUAAAAUUCAUAAUUGUUGACAUGAAAUUUCUGUUUGGAAAAAGGAAAAUCCACCUUAUGGGAAGGAAAAAAUAAAUACUCUUCAGAGGGCUCUGGAGGAUGAUCAAAGCGAUUUGACAAAAUCUCUUGAAGUAGUGAUUGAGGUGUCCAGGAAACUAAAAGAGGCAUAUCGAGAUGAAAAAUUAUAGUGGGAACAGAAGAGUAGAACUUUGUGGCAUACAUGUGGAGAUAGAAAUACUAAAGUAUAUCAUGCUUUAACCAAACAAAGACGCAUACAAAACAUGAUUAUUGGUUUAUAUAACGAGGAUGGGGAUUGGAUUAAUUCAGAAGGUGAUAUGGAAAGUGUGUCGCUUAAAUAUUUCAAUGAUCUGUUCCAGUCUACCCCGCCUUCAGAGUUUGAUAGGUUUCUAGAGGAAGUUCCAACUUGGUAACAACUGCUCAAAAUAAUAGACUAACGGCUCAUGCUUCAAAGGAGGAAGUUAGGACGUCAUUAUUUAUGAUGCACCCGGAGAAAG